rnacentral:lncRNA from 1 species
CCUCAGCCGGGUCCGCCGCAGCCUCCUCCUCCGCCGCCGCCUGAGGAGUCGUCGGACAGCGAGCCCGAGGCAGAGCCCGGCUCCCCGCAGAAGCUCAUCCGCAAGGUGUCCACGUCGGGCCAGAUCCGCCAGAAGCAACAAGAGAAGUAACUAAGACAGAGGUGGCUGCUGCUGCUGCUGCUGCUGCUGCUGUGCUGUGAAAUACACUUUGAGAAACAAGACCCUUCUUGUGAAGAGAAGCCUACCAAGCUCCAAAGAGAUCUUUAGGGUCUCCCUUUGUAGUUCAGGCUCGCCCUGGACUCACUAUGUAGCUCAGGCUGGCCUCGAACUCGAAGCAUUCCUCCUACCUCAGCCUCCCAAGUGCUAGGAUUACAGGUGUGUGCCACCAUGCCAGGUUGAAUUCACUUUUUUUUUUUUGAGGCAGGUCUCCCUAUGUAUUCCAGGCUGGCCUUGAAUUCGUGGCAAUCCUCCUGCCUCAGCCUCCUGAGUGCUGGGAUCACAGGAGUGCGACAUGGUUUUUAGUGUAUUCACAGUUGUGCACCUGUCAGCACAAGCGAUUUUAGAACAUUCUUAUCACCCCAUUUCCUCCCAGCUCCUCCUACCCUAGGCAACCACUGAUCUCUUUUCUAUGUAUUUGCUAAUUCUGAUACAGCAUGUGGUCUGUUGUGUCUGGUUUCUCUUAGCAUAUUUUCGACGCUCCUUUAUGUUGUAGCAUGCAUUGGUACAUCAUUCCUUUUUAUUGUUUGUUUUUUUUUUUUUUGGUACCGGCGGUCGAACUCAGGACCUUGUGCUUGGGAGGCAGGCGGGGCGAACCACUGAGCUACAUUCCUGGCCCCCUCCCCUUUUUAUUGUUGAAUAAUGUUACAUUGUAAUGAUAUUGCUGCACUUUAUUCAGUCAUCAGCUG